rnacentral:piRNA from 1 species
GAAGCUUGACAAGUGUCCUACCGUCGG